UGGGGAAUUUUGCACAAUGGGCGCAAGCCUGAUGCAGCCAUGCCGCGUGUGUGAAGAAGGCCUUCGGGUUGUAAAGCACUUUCAGCGGGGAGGAAGGCGUUAAGGUUAAUAACCUUGGCGAUUGACGUUACCCGCAGAAGAAGCACCGGCUAACUCCGUGCCAGCAGCCGCGGUAAUACGGAGGGUGCAAGCGUUAAUCGGAAUUACUGGGCGUAAAGCGCACGCAGGCGGUCUGUAAAGUCGGAUGUGAAAUCCCCGGGCUCAACCUGGGAACUGCAUUCGAAACUGGCAGGCUAGAGUCUUGUAGAGGGGGGUAGAAUUCCAGGUGUAGCGGUGAAAUGCGUAGAGAUCUGGAGGAAUACCGGUGGCGAAGGCGGCCCCCUGGACAAAGACUGACGCUCAGGUGCGAAAGCGUGGGGAGCAAACAGG
rnacentral:rRNA from 1 species